rnacentral:lncRNA from 1 species
UUGCCUUACAUAUUCAGUACAUUAUUUCGUACUGACGUCCCUCUUGGGGGACCUGCAUUCCAUGCUGCAGGUACAGAAGCUAAUAAACCUCCCUAGUAAGAGUACAGGAUAUCAACCGCAGUCACUGAGCUCCAGGUUGCUUCGGGGCUUUGAGUCUUAUCAUAUCUUUUUGCAUUGUAUAGUAUCUUAUCAUGAGGCGGGGCCUGUCCCGACCCUUAUAAGAUAACGUUUCUUGUCUAGAGGCUUUGUAGACUACGUAAAGUAUAGUAUGGUCAUGUAUCGUACCGUAGACAUUGUGGCUCCAACGGCCUAGUCAUAUAAUAUCUUUUGGCUUGCUAGUCCUAUUUAUCUUUUGAGGGCAUGUUUAGUAUGAAAGUAACUUAUAAUGUUCAUAGGUAAUGUAUCGCUACAGGUUGGUUCUCCCGAGCCUUACCGGCAACGGGUGCCAGUCCGCCUUAAUAGGAUUUGGGGCGUGACAAUACUGAUCCAACAGAUAACUCAUUUUGCAAAAGAUGAGUGAUCUAUUUUAGUAGAUAAGUGAUAUGUUUUUAUUAUUUCUAAUGGAUUACUUAUUUUCUGCAACAGGUUGGUUAUAGGUUGCAACAGAUAAACUACAUGGUGCAACAGAUGAGUGAUCUAUUUUUAUUAUUUUCAAAGGAUUGCUCAUCUGCUGUAACAGGUAGGUUAUAAGUUGCAACAGAAAACCUACUUGGUACAACCGAUGAGUGAUCUAUUUUUAUUAUUUUCAAAGGAUUGCUCAUCUGCUGUAACAGGUAGGUUAUAAGUUGCAACAGAAAACCUACUUGGUACAACCGAUGAGUGAUCUAUUUUUAUUAUUUUCAAAGGAUUGCUCAUCUGCUGUAACAGGUAGGUUAUAAGUUGCAACAGAAAACCUACUUGGUACAACCGAUGAGUGAUCUAUUUUUAUUAUUUUCAAAGGAUUGCUCAUCUGCUGUAACAGGUAGGUUAUAAGUUGCAACAGAAAACCUACUUGGUACAACCGAUGAGUGAUCUAUUUUUAUUAUUUUCAAAGGAUUGCUCAUCUGCUGUAACAGGUAGGUUAUAAGUUGCAACAGAAAACCUACUUGGUACAACCGAUGAGUGAUCUAUUUUUAUUAUUUUCAAAGGAUUGCUCAUCUGCUGUAACAGGUAGGUUAUAAGUUGCAACAGAAAACCUACUUGGUACAACCGAUGAGUGAUCUAUUUUUAUUAUUUUCAAAGGAUUGCUCAUCUGCUGUAACAGGUAGGUUAUAAGUUGCAACAGAAAACCUACUUGGUACAACCGAUGAGUGAUCUAUUUUUAUUAUUUUCAAAGGAUUGCUCAUCUGCUGUAACAGGUAGGUUAUAAGUUGCAACAGAAAACCUACUUGGUACAACCGAUGAGUGAUCUAUUUUUAUUAUUUUCAAAGGAUUGCUCAUCUGCUGUAACAGGUAGGUUAUAAGUUGCAACAGAAAACCUACUUGGUACAACCGAUGAGUGAUCUAUUUUUAUUAUUUUCAAAGGAUUGCUCAUCUGCUGUAACAGGUAGGUUAUAAGUUGCAACAGAAAACCUACUUGGUACAACCGAUGAGUGAUCUAUUUUUAUUAUUUUCAAAGGAUUGCUCAUCUGCUGUAACAGGUAGGUUAUAAGUUGCAACAGAAAACCUACUUGGUACAACCGAUGAGUGAUCUAUUUUUAUUAUUUUCAAAGGAUUGCUCAUCUGCUGUAACAGGUAGGUUAUAAGUUGCAACAGAAAACCUACUUGGUACAACCGAUGAGUGAUCUAUUUUUAUUAUUUUCAAAGGAUUGCUCAUCUGCUGUAACAGGUAGGUUAUAAGUUGCAACAGAAAACCUACUUGGUACAACCGAUGAGUGAUCUAUUUUUAUUAUUUUCAAAGGAUUGCUCAUCUGCUGUAACAGGUAGGUUAUAAGUUGCAACAGAAAACCUACUUGGUACAACCGAUGAGUGAUCUAUUUUUAUUAUUUUCAAAGGAUUGCUCAUCUGCUGUAACAGGUAGGUUAUAAGUUGCAACAGAAAACCUACUUGGUACAACCGAUGAGUGAUCUAUUUUUAUUAUUUUCAAAGGAUUGCUCAUCUGCUGUAACAGGUAGGUUAUAAGUUGCAACAGAAAACCUACUUGGUACAACCGAUGAGUGAUCUAUUUUUAUUAUUUUCAAAGGAUUGCUCAUCUGCUGUAACAGGUAGGUUAUAAGUUGCAACAGAAAACCUACUUGGUACAACCGAUGAGUGAUCUAUUUUUAUUAUUUUCAAAGGAUUGCUCAUCUGCUGUAACAGGUAGGUUAUAAGUUGCAACAGAAAACCUACUUGGUACAACCGAUGAGUGAUCUAUUUUUAUUAUUUUCAAAGGAUUGCUCAUCUGCUGUAACAGGUAGGUUAUAAGUUGCAACAGAAAACCUACUUGGUACAACCGAUGAGUGAUCUAUUUUUAUUAUUUUCAAAGGAUUGCUCAUCUGCUGUAACAGGUAGGUUAUAAGUUGCAACAGAAAACCUACUUGGUACAACCGAUGAGUGAUCUAUUUUUAUUAUUUUCAAAGGAUUGCUCAUCUGCUGUAACAGGUAGGUUAUAAGUUGCAACAGAAAACCUACUUGGUACAACCGAUGAGUGAUCUAUUUUUAUUAUUUUCAAAGGAUUGCUCAUCUGCUGUAACAGGUAGGUUAUAAGUUGCAACAGAAAACCUACUUGGUACAACCGAUGAGUGAUCUAUUUUUAUUAUUUUCAAAGGAUUGCUCAUCUGCUGUAACAGGUAGGUUAUAAGUUGCAACAGAAAACCUACUUGGUACAACCGAUGAGUGAUCUAUUUUUAUUAUUUUCAAAGGAUUGCUCAUCUGCUGUAACAGGUAGGUUAUAAGUUGCAACAGAAAACCUACUUGGUACAACCGAUGAGUGAUCUAUUUUUAUUAUUUUCAAAGGAUUGCUCAUCUGCUGUAACAGGUAGGUUAUAAGUUGCAACAGAAAACCUACUUGGUACAACCGAUGAGUGAUCUAUUUUUAUUAUUUUCAAAGGAUUGCUCAUCUGCUGUAACAGGUAGGUUAUAAGUUGCAACAGAAAACCUACUUGGUACAACCGAUGAGUGAUCUAUUUUUAUUAUUUUCAAAGGAUUGCUCAUCUGCUGUAACAGGUAGGUUAUAAGUUGCAACAGAAAACCUACUUGGUACAACCGAUGAGUGAUCUAUUUUUAUUAUUUUCAAAGGAUUGCUCAUCUGCUGUAACAGGUAGGUUAUAAGUUGCAACAGAAAACCUACUUGGUACAACCGAUGAGUGAUCUAUUUUUAUUAUUUUCAAAGGAUUGCUCAUCUGCUGUAACAGGUAGGUUAUAAGUUGCAACAGAAAACCUACUUGGUACAACCGAUGAGUGAUCUAUUUUUAUUAUUUUCAAAGGAUUGCUCAUCUGCUGUAACAGGUAGGUUAUAAGUUGCAACAGAAAACCUACUUGGUACAACCGAUGAGUGAUCUAUUUUUAUUAUUUUCAAAGGAUUGCUCAUCUGCUGUAACAGGUAGGUUAUAAGUUGCAACAGAAAACCUACUUGGUACAACCGAUGAGUGAUCUAUUUUUAUUAUUUUCAAAGGAUUGCUCAUCUGCUGUAACAGGUAGGUUAUAAGUUGCAACAGAAAACCUACUUGGUACAACCGAUGAGUGAUCUAUUUUUAUUAUUUUCAAAGGAUUGCUCAUCUGCUGUAACAGGUAGGUUAUAAGUUGCAACAGAAAACCUACUUGGUACAACCGAUGAGUGAUCUAUUUUUAUUAUUUUCAAAGGAUUGCUCAUCUGCUGUAACAGGUAGGUUAUAAGUUGCAACAGAAAACCUACUUGGUACAACCGAUGAGUGAUCUAUUUUUAUUAUUUUCAAAGGAUUGCUCAUCUGCUGUAACAGGUAGGUUAUAAGUUGCAACAGAAAACCUACUUGGUACAACCGAUGAGUGAUCUAUUUUUAUUAUUUUCAAAGGAUUGCUCAUCUGCUGUAACAGGUAGGUUAUAAGUUGCAACAGAAAACCUACUUGGUACAACCGAUGAGUGAUCUAUUUUUAUUAUUUUCAAAGGAUUGCUCAUCUGCUGUAACAGGUAGGUUAUAAGUUGCAACAGAAAACCUACUUGGUACAACCGAUGAGUGAUCUAUUUUUAUUAUUUUCAAAGGAUUGCUCAUCUGCUGUAACAGGUAGGUUAUAAGUUGCAACAGAAAACCUACUUGGUACAACCGAUGAGUGAUCUAUUUUUAUUAUUUUCAAAGGAUUGCUCAUCUGCUGUAACAGGUAGGUUAUAAGUUGCAACAGAAAACCUACUUGGUACAACCGAUGAGUGAUCUAUUUUUAUUAUUUUCAAAGGAUUGCUCAUCUGCUGUAACAGGUAGGUUAUAAGUUGCAACAGAAAACCUACUUGGUACAACCGAUGAGUGAUCUAUUUUUAUUAUUUUCAAAGGAUUGCUCAUCUGCUGUAACAGGUAGGUUAUAAGUUGCAACAGAAAACCUACUUGGUACAACCGAUGAGUGAUCUAUUUUUAUUAUUUUCAAAGGAUUGCUCAUCUGCUGUAACAGGUAGGUUAUAAGUUGCAACAGAAAACCUACUUGGUACAACCGAUGAGUGAUCUAUUUUUAUUAUUUUCAAAGGAUUGCUCAUCUGCUGUAACAGGUAGGUUAUAAGUUGCAACAGAAAACCUACUUGGUACAACCGAUGAGUGAUCUAUUUUUAUUAUUUUCAAAGGAUUGCUCAUCUGCUGUAACAGGUAGGUUAUAAGUUGCAACAGAAAACCUACUUGGUACAACCGAUGAGUGAUCUAUUUUUAUUAUUUUCAAAGGAUUGCUCAUCUGCUGUAACAGGUAGGUUAUAAGUUGCAACAGAAAACCUACUUGGUACAACCGAUGAGUGAUCUAUUUUUAUUAUUUUCAAAGGAUUGCUCAUCUGCUGUAACAGGUAGGUUAUAAGUUGCAACAGAAAACCUACUUGGUACAACCGAUGAGUGAUCUAUUUUUAUUAUUUUCAAAGGAUUGCUCAUCUGCUGUAACAGGUAGGUUAUAAGUUGCAACAGAAAACCUACUUGGUACAACCGAUGAGUGAUCUAUUUUUAUUAUUUUCAAAGGAUUGCUCAUCUGCUGUAACAGGUAGGUUAUAAGUUGCAACAGAAAACCUACUUGGUACAACCGAUGAGUGAUCUAUUUUUAUUAUUUUCAAAGGAUUGCUCAUCUGCUGUAACAGGUAGGUUAUAAGUUGCAACAGAAAACCUACUUGGUACAACCGAUGAGUGAUCUAUUUUUAUUAUUUUCAAAGGAUUGCUCAUCUGCUGUAACAGGUAGGUUAUAAGUUGCAACAGAAAACCUACUUGGUACAACCGAUGAGUGAUCUAUUUUUAUUAUUUUCAAAGGAUUGCUCAUCUGCUGUAACAGGUAGGUUAUAAGUUGCAACAGAAAACCUACUUGGUACAACCGAUGAGUGAUCUAUUUUUAUUAUUUUCAAAGGAUUGCUCAUCUGCUGUAACAGGUAGGUUAUAAGUUGCAACAGAAAACCUACUUGGUACAACCGAUGAGUGAUCUAUUUUUAUUAUUUUCAAAGGAUUGCUCAUCUGCUGUAACAGGUAGGUUAUAAGUUGCAACAGAAAACCUACUUGGUACAACCGAUGAGUGAUCUAUUUUUAUUAUUUUCAAAGGAUUGCUCAUCUGCUGUAACAGGUAGGUUAUAAGUUGCAACAGAAAACCUACUUGGUACAACCGAUGAGUGAUCUAUUUUUAUUAUUUUCAAAGGAUUGCUCAUCUGCUGUAACAGGUAGGUUAUAAGUUGCAACAGAAAACCUACUUGGUACAACCGAUGAGUGAUCUAUUUUUAUUAUUUUCAAAGGAUUGCUCAUCUGCUGUAACAGGUAGGUUAUAAGUUGCAACAGAAAACCUACUUGGUACAACCGAUGAGUGAUCUAUUUUUAUUAUUUUCAAAGGAUUGCUCAUCUGCUGUAACAGGUAGGUUAUAAGUUGCAACAGAAAACCUACUUGGUACAACCGAUGAGUGAUCUAUUUUUAUUAUUUUCAAAGGAUUGCUCAUCUGCUGUAACAGGUAGGUUAUAAGUUGCAACAGAAAACCUACUUGGUACAACCGAUGAGUGAUCUAUUUUUAUUAUUUUCAAAGGAUUGCUCAUCUGCUGUAACAGGUAGGUUAUAAGUUGCAACAGAAAACCUACUUGGUACAACCGAUGAGUGAUCUAUUUUUAUUAUUUUCAAAGGAUUGCUCAUCUGCUGUAACAGGUAGGUUAUAAGUUGCAACAGAAAACCUACUUGGUACAACCGAUGAGUGAUCUAUUUUUAUUAUUUUCAAAGGAUUGCUCAUCUGCUGUAACAGGUAGGUUAUAAGUUGCAACAGAAAACCUACUUGGUACAACCGAUGAGUGAUCUAUUUUUAUUAUUUUCAAAGGAUUGCUCAUCUGCUGUAACAGGUAGGUUAUAAGUUGCAACAGAAAACCUACUUGGUACAACCGAUGAGUGAUCUAUUUUUAUUAUUUUCAAAGGAUUGCUCAUCUGCUGUAACAGGUAGGUUAUAAGUUGCAACAGAAAACCUACUUGGUACAACCGAUGAGUGAUCUAUUUUUAUUAUUUUCAAAGGAUUGCUCAUCUGCUGUAACAGGUAGGUUAUAAGUUGCAACAGAAAACCUACUUGGUACAACCGAUGAGUGAUCUAUUUUUAUUAUUUUCAAAGGAUUGCUCAUCUGCUGUAACAGGUAGGUUAUAAGUUGCAACAGAAAACCUACUUGGUACAACCGAUGAGUGAUCUAUUUUUAUUAUUUUCAAAGGAUUGCUCAUCUGCUGUAACAGGUAGGUUAUAAGUUGCAACAGAAAACCUACUUGGUACAACCGAUGAGUGAUCUAUUUUUAUUAUUUUCAAAGGAUUGCUCAUCUGCUGUAACAGGUAGGUUAUAAGUUGCAACAGAAAACCUACUUGGUACAACCGAUGAGUGAUCUAUUUUUAUUAUUUUCAAAGGAUUGCUCAUCUGCUGUAACAGGUAGGUUAUAAGUUGCAACAGAAAACCUACUUGGUACAACCGAUGAGUGAUCUAUUUUUAUUAUUUUCAAAGGAUUGCUCAUCUGCUGUAACAGGUAGGUUAUAAGUUGCAACAGAAAACCUACUUGGUACAACCGAUGAGUGAUCUAUUUUUAUUAUUUUCAAAGGAUUGCUCAUCUGCUGUAACAGGUAGGUUAUAAGUUGCAACAGAAAACCUACUUGGUACAACCGAUGAGUGAUCUAUUUUUAUUAUUUUCAAAGGAUUGCUCAUCUGCUGUAACAGGUAGGUUAUAAGUUGCAACAGAAAACCUACUUGGUACAACCGAUGAGUGAUCUAUUUUUAUUAUUUUCAAAGGAUUGCUCAUCUGCUGUAACAGGUAGGUUAUAAGUUGCAACAGAAAACCUACUUGGUACAACCGAUGAGUGAUCUAUUUUUAUUAUUUUCAAAGGAUUGCUCAUCUGCUGUAACAGGUAGGUUAUAAGUUGCAACAGAAAACCUACUUGGUACAACCGAUGAGUGAUCUAUUUUUAUUAUUUUCAAAGGAUUGCUCAUCUGCUGUAACAGGUAGGUUAUAAGUUGCAACAGAAAACCUACUUGGUACAACCGAUGAGUGAUCUAUUUUUAUUAUUUUCAAAGGAUUGCUCAUCUGCUGUAACAGGUAGGUUAUAAGUUGCAACAGAAAACCUACUUGGUACAACCGAUGAGUGAUCUAUUUUUAUUAUUUUCAAAGGAUUGCUCAUCUGCUGUAACAGGUAGGUUAUAAGUUGCAACAGAAAACCUACUUGGUACAACCGAUGAGUGAUCUAUUUUUAUUAUUUUCAAAGGAUUGCUCAUCUGCUGUAACAGGUAGGUUAUAAGUUGCAACAGAAAACCUACUUGGUACAACCGAUGAGUGAUCUAUUUUUAUUAUUUUCAAAGGAUUGCUCAUCUGCUGUAACAGGUAGGUUAUAAGUUGCAACAGAAAACCUACUUGGUACAACCGAUGAGUGAUCUAUUUUUAUUAUUUUCAAAGGAUUGCUCAUCUGCUGUAACAGGUAGGUUAUAAGUUGCAACAGAAAACCUACUUGGUACAACCGAUGAGUGAUCUAUUUUUAUUAUUCAUUGUGGCUCCAACGGCCUAGUCAUAUAAUAGCUUUUGGCUUGCUAGUCCUAUUUAUCUUUUGAGGG